AUUGAACGCUGGCGGCAUGCCUUACACAUGCAAGUCGAACGGCAGCAUGAUCUAGCUUGCUAGAUUGAUGGCGAGUGGCGAACGGGUGAGUAAUACAUCGGAACGUGCCCUGUAGUGGGGGAUAACUAGUCGAAAGAUUAGCUAAUACCGCAUACGACCUGAGGGUGAAAGUGGGGGACCGCGAGGCCUCAUGCUAUAGGAGCGGCCGAUGUCUGAUUAGCUAGUUGGUGAGGUAAAGGCUCACCAAGGCGACGAUCAGUAGCUGGUCUGAGAGGACGAUCAGCCACACUGGGACUGAGACACGGCCCAGACUCCUACGGGAGGCAGCAGUGGGGAAUUUUGGACAAUGGGGGCAACCCUGAUCCAGCAAUGCCGCGUGUGUGAAGAAGGCCUUCGGGUUGUAAAGCACUUUUGUCCGGAAAGAAAUCGCACUUACUAAUAUUAGGUGUGGAUGGCGGUACCGGAAGAAUAAGGACCGGCUAACUACGUGCCAGCAGCCGCCGUAAUAC
rnacentral:rRNA from 1 species